AGUGAACGCUGGCGGCGUGCCUAACACAUGCAAGUCGAGCGAAGUGGCAGCUGUAGCAAUACAGUAUGUGCUUAGCGGCAGACGGGUGAGUAACACGUAGACAAUUUACCUCUUAGCGGGGGAUAGCCCGCCGAAAGGCGGGGUAAUACCGCGUAAGAUCUCUUAUCGGCAUCGGUGAGGGAUGAAACGUCCGCAAGGACGGCUGAGAGAAAAGUCUGCGGCCAUCAGCUAGUUGGUGAGGUAAUGGCUCACCAAGGCUACGACGGGUAUCCGACCUGAAAGGGUGACCGGACACACUGACACUGAGACACAGGUCAGACUCCUACGGGAGGCAGCAGUGAGGAAUUUUGGACAAUGGGGAAACCCUGAUCCAGCGACGCCGCGUGAAGGAUGAAGGUCUUC
rnacentral:rRNA from 1 species